AGUGAACGCUGGCGGUAGGCCUAACACAUGCAAGUCGAACGGCAGCACAGUAAGAGCUUGCUCUUACGGGUGGCGAGUGGCGGACGGGUGAGGAAUACAUCGGAAUCUACUUUUUCGUGGGGGAUAACGUAGGGAAACUUACGCUAAUACCGCAUACGACCUACGGGUGAAAGCAGGGGAUCUUCGGACCUUGCGCGAUUGAAUGAGCCGAUGUCGGAUUAGCUAGUUGGCGGGGUAAAGGCCCACCAAGGCGACGAUCCGUAGCUGGUCUGAGAGGAUGAUCAGCCACACUGGAACUGAGACACGGUCCAGAGUCCUACGGGAGGCAGCAGUGGGGAAUAUUGGACAAUGGGCGCAAGCCUGAUCCAGCCAUACCGCGUGGGUGAAGAAGGCCUUCGGGUUGUAAAGCCCUUUUGUUGGGAAAGAAAAGCAGCAGGUUAAUACCCCGCUGUUCUGACGGUACCCAAAGAAUAAGCACCGGCUAACUUCGU
rnacentral:rRNA from 1 species